CCAGCUCCAAUAGCGUAUAUUUAAGUUGUUGCAGUUAAAAAGCUCGUAGUUGGAUUUCGGGUAGGGUGGUGCGGUCCGCCUCUGGUGUGCACUGCUCCGCUUUACCUUCCUGCCGGGGACGGGCUCCUGGGCUUAACUGUUCGGGACUCGGAGUCGGCGAUGUUACUUUGAGUAAAUUAGAGUGUUCAAAGCAAGCCUACGCUCUGAAUACAUUAGCAUGGAAUAACACGAUAGGACUCUGGCCUAUCCGUUGGUCUGUGGGACUGGAGUAAUGAUUAAGAGGGACAGUCGGGGGCAUUCGUAUUCCAUUGUCAGAGGUGAAAUUCUUGGAUUUAUGGAAGACGAACAUCUGCGAAAGCAUUUGCCAAGGAUGUUUUCA
rnacentral:rRNA from 1 species